rnacentral:rRNA from 1 species
GUGGGAAAUAUUGGACAAUGGGCGAAAGCCUGAUCCAGCCAUGCCGCGUGUGUGAAGAAGGUCUUCGGAUUGUAAAGCACUUUAAGUUGGGAGGAAGGGCAGUAAGUUAAUACCUUGCUGUUUUGACGUUACCAACAGAAUAAGCACCGGCUAACUUCGUGCCAGCAGCCGCGGUAAUACGAAGGGUGCAAGCGUUAAUCGGAAUUACUGGGCGUAAAGCGCGCGUAGGUGGUUCAGCAAGUUGAAGGUGAAAUCCCCGGGCUCAACCUGGGAACUGCCUCCAAAACUACUGAGCUAGAGUACGGUAGAGGGUAGUGGAAUUUCCUGUGUAGCGGUGAAAUGCGUAGAUAUAGGAAGGAACACCAGUGGCGAAGGCGACUACCUGGACUGAUACUGACACUGAGGUGCGAAAGCGUGGGGAGCAAACAGGAUUAGAAACCCGGGUAGUCC